rnacentral:rRNA from 1 species
GGUAACAUCAAAUCGUACCCCAAACCGACACAGGUGGUCAGGUAGAGAAUACCAAGGCGCUUGAGAGAACUCGGGUGAAGGAACUAGGCAAAAUGGUGCCGUAACUUCGGGAGAAGGCACGCUGACAUGUAGGUGAAGUGAUUUACUCACGGAGCUGAAGUCAGUCGAAGAUACCAGCUGGCUGCAACUGUUUAUUAAAAACACAGCACUGUGCAAACACGAAAGUGGACGUAUACGGUGUGACGCCUGCCCGGU